rnacentral:rRNA from 2 species
CACGUAGGCGGACUUUUAAGUCAGGGGUGAAAUCCCGGGGCUCAACCUCGGAACUGCCUUUGAUACUGGAAGUCUUGAGUAUGGAAGAGGUAAGUGGAAUUGCGAGUGUAGAGGUGAAAUUCGUAGAUAUUCGCAGGAACACCAGUGGCGAAGGCGGCUUACUGGUCCAUUACUGACGCUGAGGUGCGAAAGCGUGGGGAGCAAACA